rnacentral:rRNA from 1 species
AUUGAACGCUGGCGGCGUGCCUAACACAUGCAAGUCGAGCGGUAACAGGUGUAGCAAUACAUGCUGACGAGCGGCGAACGGGUGAGUAAUGCUUUGGAAUCUUCCCAGUAGUGGGGAAUAACCAGUCGAAAGAUUGGCUAAUACCGCAUACGUCUGUAAAGGGAAAGCGGGGGCUCGUAAGACCUCGCGCUAUUGGAUGAGCCAAAGUCGGAUUAGCUAGUUGGGGGGUAAUGGCCUACCAAGGCGACAAUCCGUAGCUGGUCUGAGAGGACGACCAGCCACACCGGAACUGAGACACGGUCCGGACUCCUACGGGAGGCAGCAGUGGGGAAUAUUGGACAAUGGGGGAAACCCUGAUCCAGCGACGCCGCGUGUGUGAAGAAGGCCUGCGGGUUGUAAAGCACUUUUAGUGGGGACAAAAAGCUACGGAUUAAUACUCUGUGUCUU